CCUCUUCUUCUAGAACCUUCUCCCUACAGUGAUGGCCGCCACAGAGCAGGGUGGAGGCCAUGACCCUGUCUGACCGCAGGAGCAGGGACGGACUAGAGCCUACUGUGUACCAAGCGCUGCCCCAGAAGGUAGCCGCGACCGAAAUAGAUGGAGAAAACCUCCAGAAAGCAAAAGCCAGAAAAGUCUCGGACCCCCAGGGGCUCGGUCUAGUGUCAGACAGGCUGUCCACAAACACAGGGGUGAAGAAAAUAUUUUCAAAGAAG